UAGAGUUUGUAGAGUUUGAUCAUGGCUCAGCAUAUCAAAUGUUUUAAAUAGUUUUUCCAUCAACCGAAU
rnacentral:rRNA from 1 species